CACAAGCUUUUCUUCUUAUAUAACUCCCGUUGAGAACGUUCUCCACAGUUUUGUUCUCACUUUCGUUGUUGUGAAAACGUUCCCGAAGGAUUUGUUCUCAUUUUGGUUUUGGGUUUUUAUGCGUUCUUGGGAACAAAACUACGAGAAGGACUUUUAGUUUCGAUCAUACCUUUUUUUCUCGGUCCCUGGUUGUAGCAUCACCAAAAAU